GAGAUAUCUUUGGAGAUCAGUGGAGCGGGCCACGAGCAGAAGGCAAUGAGUGAGACCCCAAUACCCGACUAUGCAAUACACACAAGAUAAUACAGUACAGAGAUGUCAACCUCGGCCUCUGUGUAGCAGUUGAUCGUGCUGCAACACCCUGGCGAUAUCUGUGCGUAAAAAGAGGUUCAGCUUUGAUGUUGUCUCUUCAACAACCGCAAUCCUUUCAUCAUGCCAUGGGUAAAAAGAAAAUAGCACAAAACUUAUAUUGAGACUUGUCG
rnacentral:misc_RNA from 1 species